GACGAACGCUGGCGGCGUGCUUAACACAUGCAAGUCGAACGGUGAAGCUCCAGCUUGCUGGAGUGGAUCAGUGGCGAACGGGUGAGUAACACGUGAGCAACCUGCCCCUGACUCUGGAAUAAGCGCUGGAAACGGCGUCUAAUACUGGAUACGAGAAGGGCCCGCAUGGGCACUUUCUGGAAAGUUUUUCGGUUGGGGAUGGGCUCGCGGCCUAUCAGCUUGUUGGUGAGGUAAUGGCUCACCAAGGCGACGACGGGUAGCCGGCCUGAGAGGGCGACCGGCCACACUGGGACUGAGACACGGCCCAGACUCCUACGGGAGGCAGCAGUGGGGAAUAUUGCACAAUGGGCGAAAGCCUGAUGCAGCGACGCCGCGUGAGGGAUGACGGCCUUGGGUUGUAAACCUCUUUCAGCAGGGAAGAAGCGAAAGUGACGGUACCUGCAGAAGAAGCACCGGCUAACUACGUG
rnacentral:rRNA from 1 species